UUCUCUUCACAUAACCAAAAAAAACGCAGGUAGAGAACUUCAAAAACAAAAAUAAGAGGGGCAGGCGGGAGAGCUGAGUUUGUUGAAGAAUGGAGGACGUCAACCACAAGAACCUGCAGCCUCCACCAGGUUGCCCGACGGUGGAUUCGCAGCAGCAAGGGCCGCGCCAAGGACGAGCAAGAGCAGGGCGACGGGCGAUUAGCUUCAUCGAUGGAUGUAUUGCAGCCCUUUGCUGCUGCUGGCUCUGUGACCUCUGCUGUGAAUAGAGCAGGGCAAACCUCAAGCAUGCAUACAGUCCGAGCGCCUGCCACGUACUAGUGUACUACAUAUGUUGAUACAUGCAUGCGGACGUAUAUGUUGAGCAGUUAUAAGCAUAUCAUCUAGCAUCAACAAUGGUGUGAAUUAAAAGUUUUCAACAUUUUACGUUUGAUUGUCGAACUCGUGGAU